AUGCCGAAGCAUAUGUUGAAAGGAGGCGUCGCCGACGACGGUUCCAAGACCGCUGAGCAGAGCUCGGCUGAGGACACCCGUGCGGCAGACACGCUCGCGCUGCGAGGCAGGCCGGGAGGUGAGCUGGGUGCGCCGUGCUCCGUGCGAGAUGUGGGCAUGUCCAGUACCUCCUUCCCUGUCCUCACGCGGACCAACUAUCCCAGUUGGUCCAUCCUGAUGAAAGUCAUCAUGGAGGCGCAACAUAUGUGGGAAGCCGUGGAAACCGGCGAUGUCGAGUACGAGGAGGACCGGCUAGCGAUGGAGGCGAUCUUGCGCUCCGUCCCAGAGGAGAUGGUGCUCACCCUUGGCGCCAAGGAGACGGCCAAGGAAGCAUGGGACACCAUCAAGACUCUGCGCAUUGGCGUGGAGCGCGUACGGGAGUCGAAGGCCCAGACCUUGUGCCUCCAGUACGAGGAGAUCCGAUUCAAGGCCGGUGAGCAAGUCGACGACUUCGCCUUGCAGCUGCAAGGUCUCGUCAACGAGCUCGCAACACUAGGAGAUCACAUCGACAACAAGAUGGUGAUUCUCAAGUUCCUCCGCGUCGUCCCCAGGCAGUACAAGCAACUGGCCUGGUCCAUCGAGAGUUUGGUGGAUCUCUCCACCAUGACGAUCGAGGAGCUGGUAGGGCGGCUGAAGGUCAUCGAGGAGCGCGGCGACGAAGCCGACAACCGUGCUGGCGGCGAACUACUGCUCACCAGGGAGCAGUGGGACGCGCAGCUUCAGCAGCGCGGCCGCGACGGCUCUUCCAGAAGUGGGAGAGGCGCCCCCACGGGAAGCAGAGGUCACGGCAGAGGCGGAGGCCGUGCCCAGAGCGGCGGCGGCAACCGCGGUCGCAAGCCAAGCCAGGCAGGGCGAGGCGCUAGCAACGGUGGCAAGUGCCGCUACUGCAACAUGUCGGGUCACUGGAUCCGGGAUUGCCGCAGGAGGAAAGCCGAUGAGGCAGCCGCGGCAACGACAAACCUCGUCCAAGAUGACGUGGACGGUGGGCCAGCAAUGAUGCUGGCAAGAGUCGAGCCCGUGCAAGAGAGCACAACGUCUCUCGCGACCACGGCUCCGACAACCACCCAUUCCGUGUAG
rnacentral:rRNA from 1 species